GGCGGCGUGCCUAAUACAUGCAAGUCGAGCGAAUGAUGAGGAGCUUGCUCCUCUGAUUUAGCGGCGGACGGGUGAGUAACACGUGGGUAAUCUGCCUGUAAGACGGGGAUAACUCCGGGAAACCGGGGCUAAUACCGGAUAAUAAGAGAAGAAGCAUUUCUUCUUUUUGAAAGUCGGUUUCGGCUGACACUUACAGAUGAGCCCGCGGCGCAUUAGCUAGUUGGUGAGGUAACGGCUCACCAAGGCGACGAUGCGUAGCCGACCUGAGAGGGUGAUCGGCCACACUGGGACUGAGACACGGCCCAGACUCCUACGGGAGGCAGCAGUAGGGAAUCUUCGGCAAUGGGCGAAAGCCUGACCGAGCAACGCCGCGUGAGCGAUGAAGGCCUUCGGGUCGUAAAGCUCUGUUGUUAGAGAAGAACAAGUACGAGAGUAACUGCUCGUACCUUGACGGUACCUAACCAGAAAGCCACGGCUAACUACGU
rnacentral:rRNA from 1 species